rnacentral:lncRNA from 1 species
GUGCUGGUCUCAGCCUUUGUCCAGGAUUAUUAUGGGCAUGUUUGGUCAGCUCAUCAGCUGAUCCCCAACACCUUAUCGUAGAAUGGGUGAUGAGAACAUUGAAGCUUAGAGACACCGGUUGACUUGCCCCAAAUUACAUACCUAGUCUCCAGAGAAGGACAGGCCGGAGGAUACAGAGGUUUCUCUUUGCACAAUCAGGGCAAUCAUUUGGAGGAGUGGAACCUGGGGGUCACCUGUCAGGCUCCAGCACUGAACUAGAAUUUCAACCCAGUUGGAAAUAUUUGAUCUCCGCUUCCACAAGAAAAAGAACAAUUAAAGCCAGGGGUAGAAAUGAGAAACACCUCCAGGGCUUCUUUGGUCCCUUGAAAUACUUGGUUUCUGCAUUCCAAGACUAUGGUUAGACGAGUCAUCUUUCUCAUACUAAGCUACCAAGCAGCAGCUGCCUAGAGACAGCUUUGAGAUCUGGCCCCCAUUCAAUGAUUGUGACAUUCAGAGAUGACUGUUUCAGGGACCAGAGAAGAUGACAGCUUUCCUCCUCUGUCUUCAGAGAAAGCAACAGGCAGCUGGAUACACAACACUGGUUUCUAGCUAUUUUUCCUGCGUAUGUCUGUGCAUGCAUACAUGUGUAUUUGACAUAACUAAGGGCAAGGUCACGUUUUCAUUUUCUUUUUCUUGUUGCCCAGUGAGCCACACUCCUUCUCCCGAACUCUCAAGCCCCUAGCCACAACCCAGCCUUGUAAGUGGAAAUGCUAUGAAUUUACGGUGAGGGAUUUUGAUCAAUUUCUUUUCCUUUCCCCUGGUUGUUCUCUUAUUGCCCUGAGAGGUAAGGCAAUAAGGCAACUCAAUACCAAUAUGGAUGACUUAUUGCCUUUUCCUAAACCUGAGAUUUUCACAUGGCAAGAAUCAUUUCUGAUUGCUUCUUGAGUGGGGUUCUGACAGUCCAGGGCUGGUGGGUGUCAAUCUGGUUUGACCAUAAGAACAGGACCAAAAACCUUGGAAAUCAAUCAUUUCUGAGAAACCAAAUGGUUCUCUUAUCCCAGUUCUCAUCAGUGAAAAGACACUGAAGGGAGUUGAAAUAAAUAUUAUUUGUUACUAAUGGUAAUAAACCCUGGUAGUUUAAUGUAUUUAGUUUUAAAUCU